UACGGAGGGUGCGAGCGUUGUCCGGAAUCAUUGGGCGUAAAGGGCGCGUAGGUGGCCCGGUCAGUUCGUGGUGAAAGCGCGGGGCUCAACCCUGCGUCGGCCAUGAAUACUGCCGCGGCUGGAGCACUGUAGAGGCAGGCGGAAUUCCAGGUGUAGCGGUGGAAUGCGUAGAGAUCCGGAAGAACACCGGUGGCGAAGGCGGCCUGCUGGGCAGUUGCUGACACUGAGGCGCGACAGCGUGGGGAGCAAACAGG
rnacentral:rRNA from 1 species